rnacentral:rRNA from 1 species
GACGAACGCUGGCGGCGUGCCUAACACAUGCAAGUAGAACGCAGUUGCGAACGGGUAAGUAACGCGUAGGUAACUGCCUGGUAGCGGGGGAAGACCAGUGGCAACGAUAGCUAAUACCGCAUACUACCAGAUGGACAUGCGUUGUAUUAGCUAGUUGGUGGGGUAACGGCUUACCCAGGCAACGAUACAUAGCCGACCUGAGCGGGUGAUCGGCCACAAUGGGACGGGGACACGGCCCAUGCUCCUACGGGAGGCAGCAGUAGGGAAUCUUCGGCAAUGGGCGGAAGUCUUACCGAGCAACGCCGCGUGAGUGAAGAAGGUUCUCGGAUCGUAAAGCUCUGUUGUAAGGGAAGCGGUAUCUUACCAGAAAGGGACGGCUAACUACGUGCCAGCAGCCGCGGUAAUUC